rnacentral:rRNA from 1 species
GCAUCGAUGAAAGAACGCAGCGAAAUGCGAUAAUUAAUGUGAAUUGCAGAAUUCAGUGAAUCAUCGAGUCUUUGAACGCACAUUGCACCCCCUGGUAUUUCCGGGGGGUAUGCCUGUCCGAGCGUCAUU